CCUACGGGGGGCAGCAGUGAGGAAUAUUGGUCAAUGGGCGCGAGCCUGAACCAGCCAAGUCGCGUGAGGGAAGACGGUCCUAUGGAUUGUAAACCUCUUUUAUAAAGGAAUAAAACGAGGCACGUGUGCCUUUUUGCAUGUACUUUAUGAAUAAGGAUCGGCUAACUCCGUGCCAGCAGCCGCGGUAAUACGGAGGAUCCGAGCGUUAUCCGGAUUUAUUGGGUUUAAAGGGAGCGUAGAUGGGUUGUUAAGUCAGUUGUGAAAGUUUGCGGCUCAACCGUAAAAUUGCAAUUGAUACUGGCAGUCUUGAGUACAGUUGAGGUAGGCGGAAUUCGUGGUGUAGCGGUGAAAUGCUUAGAUAUCACGAAGAACCCCGAUUGCGAAGGCAGCUUACUAAACUGUGACUGACAUUGAUGCUCGAAAGUGUGGGUAUCAAACAGGAUUAGAUACCCGGGUAGUC
rnacentral:rRNA from 1 species